rnacentral:rRNA from 1 species
CAGCCGCCACGGUAAUACAGAGGGUGCGAGCGUUAAUCGGAUUUACUGGGCGUAAAGCGUGCGUAGGCGGCUAAUUGAGUCGGAUGUGAAAUCCCCGAGCUUAACUUGGGAAUUGCAUUCGAUACUGGUUAGCUAGAGUGUGGGGGAGGAUGGUAGAAUUCCAGGUGUAGCGGUGAAAUGCGUAGAGAUCUGGAGGAAUACCGAUGGCGAAGGCAGCCAUCUGGCCUAACACUGACGCUGAGGUACGAAAGCAUGGGGAGCAAACAGGAUUAGAUACCCCCGUAGUCCCUGUCUCUUAUAC